GAUGAACGCUGGCGGCGUGCUUAACACAUGCAAGUCGAACGAUGAAGCCCAGCUUGCUGGGUGGAUUAGUGGCGAACGGGUGAGUAACACGUGAGUAACCUGCCCUUGACUCUGGGAUAAGCCUGGGAAACUGGGUCUAAUACUGGAUAUGACUUCUCAUCGCAUGGUGGGGGGUGGAAAGAUUUAUUGGUCUUGGAUGGACUCGCGGCCUAUCAGCUUGUUGGUGAGGUAAUGGCUCACCAAGGCGACGACGGGUAGCCGGCCUGAGAGGGUGACCGGCCACACUGGGACUGAGACACGGCCCAGACUCCUACGGGAGGCAGCAGUGGGGAAUAUUGCACAAUGGGCGCAAGCCUGAUGCAGCGACGCCGCGUGAGGGAUGACGGCCUUCGGGUUGUAAACCUCUUUCAGUAGGGAAGAAGCGAGAGUGACGGUACCUGCAGAAGAAGCGCCGGCUAACUACGUA
rnacentral:rRNA from 1 species